CCCUCUCUUUUUGUGUGGUGAAGCUGUUCAUGAUUUGACGCAGCUAAUCCACACUAUUCCUUUUUGCUUUAAAAAAAGCUCUGAUCUUUGGAGUUUGGCCAACCAGAAAACAAAACAAAAGCUCAGUCCUUUACUCUUCGGAGAGACGCAAAGCUUGAGCCUUCUUCUAGCUUCUGCCAAUAUCCAAACUAACUUGUGUCCCUUGUACUGUUAUUUGGCCAUUGCCUUAUUAAUUGAUUCUAC